GAUUAUGGCUCAGGAUGAACGCUAGCUACAGGCUUAACACAUGCAAGUCGAGGGGCAGCAUGAUCAAAGCUUGCUUUGAUUGAUGGCGACCGGCGCACGGGUGAGUAACGCGUAUCCAACCUUCCCCUUAGUAGGGCAUAGCCCGGCGAAAGUCGGAUUAAUACCCUAUGUUAUCCGAAGAGGACAUCUGAAUUGGAUUAAAGAUUUAUCGCUAAGGGACGGGGAUGCGUCUGAUUAGGUAGUCGGCGGGGUAACGGCCCACCGAGCCUACGAUCAGUAGGGGUUCUGAGAGGAAGGUCCCCCACAUUGGUACUGAGACACGGACCAAACUCCUACGGGAGGCAGCAGUGAGGAAUAUUGGUCAAUGGGCGCGAGCCUGAACCAGCCAAGUAGCGUGCAGGAUGACGGCCCUAUGGGUUGUAAACUGCUUUUAUGCGGGGAUAAAGUGCGCCACGUGUGGUGUUUUGUAGGUACCGCAUGAAUAAGGACCGGCUAAUUCCGUGCCAGCCGCCGC
rnacentral:rRNA from 1 species